rnacentral:rRNA from 1 species
CCUACGGGGGGCAGCAGUGGGGAAUAUUGGACAAUGGGGGCAACCCUGAUCCAGCCAUGCCGCGUGUGUGAAGAAGGCCCUCGGGUUGUAAAGCACUUUCAGUGAGGAAGAACGCCUGGUGGUUAAUACCCAUCAGGAAAGACAUCACUCACAGAAGAAGCACCGGCUAACUCCGUGCCAACAGCCGCGGUAAUACGGAGGGUGCGAGCGUUAAUCGGAAUUACUGGGCGUAAAGCGCGCGUAGGUGGCUUGAUAAGCCGGUUGUGAAAGCCCCGGGCUCAACCUGGGAACGGCAUCCGGAACUGUCAAGCUAGAGUGCAGGAGAGGAAGGUAGAAUUCCCGGUGUAGCGGUGAAAUGCGUAGAGAUCGGGAGGAAUACCAGUGGCGAAGGCGGCCUUCUGGACUGACACUGCCACUGAGGUGCGAAAGCGUGGGUAGCAAACAGGAUUAGAUACCCUGGUAGUC